GGUUAAGCUAGAAAGGGCGCACGGUGGA
rnacentral:rRNA from 1 species